UGAGUAACACGUAUCCAACCUGCCGUCUACUCUUGGCCAGCCUUCUGAAAGGAAGAUUAAUACAAGAUGGCAUCAUGAGUCCGCAUGUUCACAUGAUUAAAGGUAUUCCGGUAGACGAUGGGGAUGCGUUCCAUUAGAUAGUGGCGGGGUAACGGCCCACCUAGUCUUCGAUGGAUAGGGGUUCUGAGAGGAAGGUCCCCCACAUUGGAACUGAGACACGGUCCAA
rnacentral:rRNA from 1 species